GACGAACCGUGCGAACGUUAUUCGGAAUCACUGGGCUUAAAGGGCGCGUAGGCGGCCUGCUAAGUCACACGUGAAAUCCCUCGGCUCAACCGGGGAACUGCGUGUGAUACUGGCGGGCUUGAAUUCGGGAGAGGGAUGUGGAAUUCCAGGUGUAGCGGUGAAAUGCGUAGAUAUCUGGAGGAACACCGGUGGCGAAGGCGGCAUCCUGGACCGAGAUUGACGCUGAGGCGCGAAAGCUAGGGGAGCAAACGGG
rnacentral:rRNA from 1 species